rnacentral:rRNA from 1 species
UUAAGCGACUAAGCGUACACGGUGGAUGCCCUGGCAGUCAGAGGCGAUGAAGGACGUGCUAAUCUGCGAAAAGCGUCGGUAAGGUGAUAUGAACCGUUAUAGCCGGCGAUGUCCGAAUGGGGAAACCCAGUGUGAUUCGUCACACUAUCGUUAACUGAAUACAUAGGUUAACGAGGCGAACCGGGGGAACUGAAACAUCUAAGUACCCCGAGGAAAAGAAAUCAACCGAGAUUCCCCCAGUAGCGGCGAGCGAACGGGGAGCAGCCCAGAGUCUGAAUCAGCUUGUGUGUUAGUGGAACGGUCUGGAAAGUCCGACGGUACAGGGUGAUAGUCCCGUACACCAAAAUGCACAGGCUGUGAACUCGAAGAGUAGGGCGGGACACGUGGUAUCCUGUCUGAAUAUGGGGGGACCAUCCUCCAAGGCUAAAUACUCCUGACUGACCGAUAGUGAACCAGUACCGUGAGGGAAAGGCGAAAAGAACCCCGGCGAGGGGAGUGAAAAAGAACCUGAAACCGUGUACGUACAAGCAGUGGGAGCACCUUCGGGUGUGACUGCGUACCUUUUGUAUAAUGGGUCAGCGACUUAUAUUCUGUAGCAAGGUUAACCGUAUAGGGAAGCCGCAGGGAAACCGAGUCUUAACUGGGCGUUAAGUUGCAGGGUAUAGACCCGAAACCCGGUGAUCUAGCCAUGGGCAGGUUGAAGGUUGGGUAACACUAACUGGAGGACCGAACCGACUAAUGUUGAAAAAUUAGCGGAUGACUUGUGGCUGGGGGUGAAAGGCCAAUCAAACCGGGAGAUAGCUGGUUCUCCCCGAAAGCUAUUUAGGUAGCGCCUCGUGAACUCAUCUUCGGGGGUAGAGCACUGUUUCGGCUAGGGGGUCAUCCCGACUUACCAACCCGAUGCAAACUACGAAUACCGAAGAAUGUUAUCACGGGAGACACACGGCGGGUGCUAACGUCCGUCGUGAAGAGGGAAACAACCCAGACCGCCAGCUAAGGUCCCAAAGUCAUGGUUAAGUGGGAAACGAUGUGGGAAGGCACAGACAGCCAGGAUGUUGGCUUAGAAGCAGCCAUCAUUUAAAGAAAGCGUAAUAGCUCACUGGUCGAGUCGGCCUGCGCGGAAGAUGUAACGGGGCUAAACCAUGCACCGAAGCUGCGGCAGCGACACGAUGUGUUGUUGGGUAGGGGAGCGUUCUGUAAGCCUGCGAAGGUGGCCUGUGAGGGUUGCUGGAGGUAUCAGAAGUGCGAAUGCUGACAUAAGUAACGAUAAAGCGGGUGAAAAGCCCGCUCGCCGGAAGACCAAGGGUUCCUGUCCAACGUUAAUCGGGGCAGGGUGAGUCGACCCCUAAGGCGAGGCCGAAAGGCGUAGUCGAUGGGAAACAGGUUAAUAUUCCUGUACUUGGUGUUACUGCGAAGGGGGGACGGAGAAGGCUAUGUUAGCCGGGCGACGGUUGUCCCGGUUUAAGCAUGUAGGCUGGUUAUCCAGGCAAAUCCGGAUAAUCAAGGCUGAGGUGUGAUGACGAGGCACUACGGUGCUGAAGUAACAAAUGCCCUGCUUCCAGGAAAAGCCUCUAAGCAUCAGGUAACACGAAAUCGUACCCCAAACCGACACAGGUGGUCAGGUAGAGAAUACCAAGGCGCUUGAGAGAACUCGGGUGAAGGAACUAGGCAAAAUGGUGCCGUAACUUCGGGAGAAGGCACGCUGGUGUGUAGGUGAAGUCCCUGCGGAUGGAGCUGAGACCAGUCGAAGAUACCAGCUGGCUGCAACUGUUUAUUAAAAACACAGCACUGUGCAAACACGAAAGUGGACGUAUACGGUGUGACGCCUGCCCGGUGCCGGAAGGUUAAUUGAUGGGGUUAUCCGUAAGGAGAAGCUCUUGAUCGAAGCCCCGGUAAACGGCGGCCGUAACUAUAACGGUCCUAAGGUAGCGAAAUUCCUUGUCGGGUAAGUUCCGACCUGCACGAAUGGCGUAAUGAUGGCCAGGCUGUCUCCACCCGAGACUCAGUGAAAUUGAACUCGCUGUGAAGAUGCAGUGUACCCGCGGCAAGACGGAAAGACCCCGUGAACCUUUACUAUAGCUUGACACUGAACAUUGAGCCUUGAUGUGUAGGAUAGGUGGGAGGCUUUGAAGCGUGGACGCCAGUCUGCGUGGAGCCAACCUUGAAAUACCACCCUUUAAUGUUUGAUGUUCUAACGUUGGCCCCUUAUCGGGGUUGCGGACAGUGUCUGGUGGGUAGUUUGACUGGGGCGGUCUCCUCCCAAAGCGUAACGGAGGAGCACGAAGGUUAGCUAAUCCUGGUCGGACAUCAGGAGGUUAGUGCAAUGGCAUAAGCUAGCUUGACUGCGAGCGUGACGGCGCGAGCAGGUGCGAAAGCAGGUCAUAGUGAUCCGGUGGUUCUGAAUGGAAGGGCCAUCGCUCAACGGAUAAAAGGUACUCCGGGGAUAACAGGCUGAUACCGCCCAAGAGUUCAUAUCGACGGCGGUGUUUGGCACCUCGAUGUCGGCUCAUCACAUCCUGGGGCUGAAGUAGGUCCCAAGGGUAUGGCUGUUCGCCAUUUAAAGUGGUACGCGAGCUGGGUUUAGAACGUCGUGAGACAGUUCGGUCCCUAUCUGCCGUGGGCGCUGGAGAAUUGAGGGGGGCUGCUCCUAGUACGAGAGGACCGGAGUGGACGCAUCACUGGUGUUCGGGUUGUCAUGCCAAUGGCACUGCCCGGUAGCUAAAUGCGGAAGAGAUAAGUGCUGAAAGCAUCUAAGCACGAAACUUGCCCCGAGAUGAGUUCUCCCUGAGACUUUAAGUCUCCUGAAGGAACGUUGAAGACGACGACGUUGAUAGGCCGGGUGUGUAAGCGCAGCGAUGCGUUGAGCUAACCGGUACUAAUGAACCGUGAGGCUUAACCUU